ensembl:lncRNA
AAGGUCACACACGGGGGCUGUACAGGGAGGGGUGGGGGGUCCAAACAGGUGUACAAAACAGAUGGCUUUUAUGACCCUCAUCAAGCAAACUUUUUGAGACAAGCCACACUAUACUCUCUCUCUCGGUCGUGACUCGGACUCAACCCUUUCUGAACUCGGACUUGACUCGGACAGCCCUCUCUGAAAUCGAUCUUGACUCGGACUCGAAUGAGCUGGUCUUGACUACAACACUGUUACCUACAAAAAAGUCUCUUGGUACAAAAUCCAAAACCAAACAGGAAGUAAGUUAUUAGGGCUCAAGCCCGAAGGGGCGAAGAGCCCUCUUGUUUUUCUAAGGAUUAUUCUUAUUAGGGCCCGAGCACUGCAGUGCGAGGACCCUCUUGGAAUUGCUCCGUUUAUUAUUCUUCUUCUUCUUCUUCUUGGAAAAAUAUAGCUGUGAAUUAAUGCAUACUGCUCAGUGCAGAAUUACAGUAUACACACCAGGACCCUCUUGUAUCUGCUUUGUUUAUUAUUAUUAUUAUUAUUCUUCUUCUUCUUCUUCUUCUUCUUCUUCUUCUCCAAAAUGAAUCGCAUUUUUGAGGGCCUAAACAUGCUCGAAAAGUCCUGAAACUUUGCACACGCGUCAGACCUGGUGAAAAUUUACGUCUGAUAUAGGUUUCAGAAGAGGGUGUGGCAAAAUGGCUCGACAGCGCCACCUACCGUAAAAAAAUCAACAGCCC